AGAAGGGCUUCCACGACAGUGAUGUCUGGGGGCCUUUUUCUUUGC
rnacentral:antisense_RNA from 1 species